GGUUCUGCUUGGCUUGUAACAUUGCUUGUCUGUGUUGCUGUUCACUCAUAUCAUGUUCAAAAAUUGCAUUGUGUAAUUUUGUCAAAUUGUUAUUGGAUUAUUUAAAAAAAUGCGAAUAGUUCUGAAAUGCAAAUUUAAAAUUCUUUGAUAUAUAAUAAUUUUAUUGUUCUCAUAACAUCAAUAAACUAUUUAAUAAUUAAUUUAAUUGAUAGUUUCUCUUUUAAUUUGUUUGUAGUUCAUAAGUAUAUUAACAAGUUUCAUAUCUGAUUUCAUAUAUGAAAUACUUAGAUAUAUAAGUUAAAAAAAUAUUUACAUAUUUCCAAUUUUGAAAAGUUAAAUGAUGAACUGUUGUAUAGCCAUUCUGCUUUGGCUUCAAAAGACUGGCCAUUCAUUGAGAAAAAUAUAAAAAUCAAAGGACAAAUAAAAUUCUAACUAGUGUUCUAGGAAUCACAAAUGUUUGCUGGGUAGUACUGAAUUGUGGAAUUCUGAAUGUUUGUAAUUCCCAUUAACAUAAUUUGCUAGCUAUUUAGCACCUAAGCUGUGGUGUGGGUGUGGUUCAUGUUUAAAAAAUAGUUUGGAAGUAUCAAAAUACCAAACAUAUUGCCUAGCAAAUGUACUGAACUUAAGAGGUUUUAGUGUAAUGAGAUUGAAGUACAAUAAAGUAAUUUGAUAAUUACAACAGUCACAACUACCUGAGAGCAGUAACAUUAUACAGAUCAUCUAUGUACAUAAAAACUAAGAGAAAGUAGUCAGCAGUGCAAUCAUAAUUUUCCAAUGUGCUGUGAGAAUCAUUUUGAAACUCAGGAACGUUUUGAUACAAUGAGCAAUGCAAUUCUUUCACCAACCCUACCAUCAUGUCACUGACCUUCCCAAUUAUUCUUGUUAGUCUGAUACUAACAAUGUAUGGCUAAGGUUUAUUUCUGUGACUUCCAAGUGUGUGACAAAAUUAAUGAUCCAGUCAAGUGCGGGGUUUAUGGUGUAAUUUAUUCUUUUUGAAUGGAAGAAAGGUCUGCUCUAUCAAAUGUUAAAUGUAGAUAAUUAACUACAUCACAUUUCAUGGUAAACAAGCAAAUAUUUAGGUUCUGAUAGUUGUUUUCUUAUUGUCUUCUACUGUCUAUCUUUCAUUAUAUUCUUUUUUGUUUUGUUGAUAUAAUAAUGAAAAUAAAUUCACAAUACCAUUACAAUUUAUACCUGCUAAAACAAAAAGAUAAAUUUACUAAAGAUAACCAGAUAAUAUGAUAUUACACUCAGAUUGUUUAAUUUUAAACAAGUUAAAUUUAACUAACAUAUAAGAUAACUGGUUCAAACAGCACCAAAACUUUGAAAACAUCAUGAAAUUCUUGAAAUAUUUCAGCCUUGCUGUGAAGAGCCAUCUUUAGUCAUCAGAUUUUUAACCAAAACUCAUUAAAGAUAGAUGUUGUACUGGAAGUUUUGAUGUGCUGUAAACAGGAAAACUUGGAUGUUAGUUAUGAAAUGAGCCACAUAAGCCUAAAAACUGAGACUUAAAUUUAAUCUUUAAUAUUAUGAACAAUUUUAAUAAAGAUGUAAAACAUGUUGGUAAUUAAAAGUAGCUUUUGUGUGUGUAUUGAAGAAAAAAAUAAUGUUUACUAGUUCACAAGUCAUUCUUUAUUCCAUGUACUCUUUUUUUGUUUUGUAUGACUUUAUUGUGUAUUGUUACAUGUCAUCAAUACCAAAGAGUAUUUUAGUGUUGUCUAAAUGUGCGUUGCCCAUCAACAUUAUUUUAAUAUGAAAACACAGAUAGGAAAUUAUGAAUUAGAUAGUCAACAAUAUUCAAUAUUCAGACAAUUUAUUUUUACAUACUUUGUUUCAUGGUACAUACAAAAAUCAAUCAUAAGGUUAAGGCAAAUGGAAGAUUCACAAUCACAGAUUUAUCACAGCAUUGUUUGCUUAUAUCAAGCAUUGAGGUGUAUGAAAUUGUGACUAAGAAUUUGGAUAUCCUAAAUUUGUGCCUGAUGGAAUCUUUUGACUUAUGAAUUCAAACAAGCCGAAUUGGAUCAGCUCAGUUUUGUAUAAUGAAGAGGGUGACAAGUUUCUUAAUCACAUAGUUAAUGGUUAUGGAUCACCAAAAAAAAAGACAUUCAGUGGAGGAGGAUCCCACCUCGCUGCUACGAAAACCGCCGCAACUGGUUAAAUGUAUAGGUGGCAGAAUUGUAUUCAAAACAUACUUAAAAACUUGAACCUACAUUCAUUAAGUGCUUAAAUGUGAAUGGUAACUAUGCUGAAAAUAGUUAAAGAAUUGUUCUUUCAAAUGUACAUUAUAUAAUAAAAAGCUGCAAAUGUUACAUACCGUAUUUAAAAAGUAAUGUAUAUAUUAAAACUACUUUCUUUCUGAACAACCCCCAUAUUUUUAGAAAAUGCAUCUUUUUUAAGUCUGAGCUGGUUAGAGUCUGAACAAACUAAAGCUUUAUGAAAUUAAUAGCUACACUGUUCAAUCAAAUUUUACUUAAUUAGAAUUCCUACGUAUCUCGUAGUCUAUGCAAGCAAAGCAGCACAAGACUCUAUCCAACCAUAACCCUUUAGCAUUUUACUCUUAUAAGUAUACAUCUCUACAUCAAUGUUCAGAUACAAUGAUUUGUUGUCCUUAUCUCACAUUGUUCUUUCCACUAUCUUUCAGACUGCUUCAAUUUUAUUUUGCUAUUUGAUAAUCUGCUUUUUAUUUAUUUCUUUCCUAUGAGAUCUGAGUUUAGUAUCAUCAUCUUUUUUCUUUUGCACACCCUCAGUCCUAUCUUCCUGCUGGUCACUAUAAAUGUACUGAUUGAUCUCUGGGAUAUAGGCCUUAGAGAUAGCAUCACAUUUUCUGCUCCUAGGGCACAAUAUUGUACAAGUCACUAUGAAAGUUUUGAGAUACUUGCAGAUAGUGGAUACUGCAAUAAUCUUAUCACUCUUGUCUGAUUGUCCGAGCACCAGUCAGUACCUGACAGCAACUUGGGUUCAUCAGUGUAGUUGUGUCGUCUGUCCGGAAAGAUCUAGAGAGCAUUUAUGGGCUAUGAUUUUAAAGUCAGUUUGUCACAAGAUGAGUGCGUGGAACGUUUGCCUUUGGUUCUGAAGGACUAUCCUGUACUACUGUUUAGAUGGUAUCCAGAAUAUCAAAGGUGCCUUAAUUCACAUCAGGACUAGGAAUGUUCGGAAUGGCCGCAUUCCUCCAUCAGUCAAGAAAACUUUGAUUGGUUGCAUGCUAUGAUCCAAGAGGUCAGACACUGCACUUAUUUAAUGGUUGAAGCUUUCCUAGGUAUUGGAUCCAUAGCAGUGUAAAUUAUAUUCUAUUACAUUUUAAAAAUCAGAAAAAUUGUUUCCCAAUGGAUAACUCACAAUUUAACAGAUGAGCAAAAAGCUGACCUUGUGAGAAUCAACAAGCAGAUCCUCCAACUGUUUAAUAGUGGGGGUCAUUAGAUUAUUUAUAAUGGUAUGGGUGAUGAGACGUGCAUGCCAUUUAUGACAUUCUAACUUGAAGUGAGAGUUGUGUGUGGACGUUUGAAAACAAGCCAUCCCCCAUAAUGUUCAAGAAACAAAGAUCUCUGAAGAAAUUAAUGUACACUUGAUUUCUUCAGGAGUACAGGACUAGUUGAGGCUAUUUAGUUGGGGUACAAAAUCCCGUCACAGCAAGUUGGUACUCUGAACAAUGCUUGCCAGAAGUUCUUCAGAACUUGAACAUUAAGGGUUUAAUUUUGCACUGUGACAAUGUCUCGUCUCACACUAUUGCAAAAACUUUGUGAUGUUUUUGGCCAAAACGAUGGAGUAUCCCCUUUAUUCAUCCAACCGCACUACGUUUGGUUAUUUUUUAAUCUGAAAAACUUUUGUGCAGUUGUCGCUUUUCCUUGGAAGCCAAAAUCGAUAAUGAGAAAUCUUUUGACUCCAUUCCAAAAAUUGAGUGGUUGGGUGCUGUCAAAAAGUGGAAAAUCCAACUUCAAAAGUGACAUUACUUUUAAUCUCCAGCGAGGAUUACUUUGAACCCCUAAUGUUUUGUAAGUGUAGCACAAAAAUUCUCUAUAUAUAUCUUAAAACCUUUGCCCUUCUAUUAGAGCAUGAGAGGUCUAAAUUGUAGUGCCCAGCAGCUGAAAGACAUUAAAUCUUACUCUUAAUGGGGACAAUAGUGCUAGUUUUUAGGCUUUAAUUUAAUAUGAAAUGUUUUUAAUACAUAAUCAAAAUGACCAGAAUCCAUAUUAAAUAAUAUUUAAAACUUAACUUCCUGUGGCGUUGAGCAACUGGAAAACUUACUGCUGUCAAAGGAAUUCAACUCUGAAUUUAUUAACAAUCUGGAGGCCAUCAAUAAUGCUAUAUGUUUUUGGGAUUUGGCAGUAAACCUGCAUAUAUUUAUUUGAUAUCAAUUUUGGAUAACCCACCACACUUCCUCUGGUUGCCGGGGCCAUCAGGAACUGGAGGUCCAAAAAAGCUGAUCAACUAGCCAAAGAAGAAGCCUUUUGGGACUCUAGGAGUCGAAACAAACCACAAAACUGCUUGGGAACUCUGACCGGGGAUGAGCUGAGAAGGAACAGGAAGUCAGUGGGAGCUUCACAUCAGACAUUUCCUUCUCACUGGCUCUUUUGGUGUCUUCUCUCCAUUUCUCAUCUUUUAACCUAAUUUCAAUUUUACUUAUUCCUUAACAUAAUUUAUUGUGUUCAAUCAGUAUAACUAAAGGCUUUAUAUUCGGUUCAAAACUUUUGUUUUUGACUCAGGAUACUUCAGUGGAAAGUGGAAACACAUUUUCUGUGCCACACACUCUUUCUACAACAUGUCGGAAUGUAAAAUGUAUGAAUAUAGAAUUAAGUUCUUAAAAGA